rnacentral:rRNA from 1 species
UUUAGAUUUNGUGGCGAACGGGUGAGUAACACGUAAGCAACCUGCCUUUAUGACGAGAAUAACAAUUGGAAACAGUCGCUAAGGCUGGAUAGGAAAUAAAAAGGCAUCUUUUUAUUUUUAAAAGACCUUUUUCGGAAGGUAUGCUUAAAGAGGGGCUUGCGUCACAUUAGUUAGUUGGUAGGGUGAAGGCCUACCAAGACGAUGAUGUGUAGCUGGACUGAGAGGUUGAACAGCCACAUUGGGACUGAGACACGGCCCAAACUCCUACGGGAGGCAGCAGUAGGGAAUUUUCGGCAAUGGAGGAAACUCUGACCGAGCAACGCCGCGUGAACGACGAAGUACUUCGGUAUGUAAAGUUCUUUUAUUGAAGAAGAAACAAUAGUGGAAAAACUAUCUUGACGUUAUUCAAUGAAUAAGCCCCGGCUAACUAUAUGCCAGCAGCCGCGGUAAUACAUAGGGGGCGAGCGUUAUCCGGAAUUAUUGGGCGUAAAGGGUGCGUAGGCGGUUUAAUAAGUCUCUAGUUUAAUUUCGACGCUUAACGUUGUCCUGCUAGAGAAACUGUUUAACUAGAGUGAGAUAGAGGUAAGUGGAAUUCCAUGUGUAGCGGUAAAAUGUGUAAAUAUAUGGAGGAACACCAGAGGCGUAGGCGGCUUACUGGGUCUUUACUGACGCUGAUGCACGAAAGCGUGGGGAGCAAACAGGAUUAGAUACCCUAGUAGUCCACGCCGUAAACUAUGAGUACUAAGUGUCGGGGUUAAACUCGGUACUGAAGUUAACACAUUAAGUACUCCGCCUGAGUAGUACGUACGCNAGUAUGAAUUUUAAAGGAAUUGACGGGAUCCCGCACAAGCGGUGGGAUCAUGUUGUUUAAUUCGAAGAUACACGAAAAACCUUACCAGGUCUUGACAUACUCUGCAAAGCUAUAGAAAUAUAGUGGAGGUUAUCAGGGAUACAGGUGGUGCAUGGUUGUCGUCAGCUCGUGUCGUGAGAUGUUAGGUUUAGUUCUAAAACGAGCGCAACCCCUGUCGUUGAUUGCCAGCACGUUAUGGUGGGGACUUUAGCGAGACUGCCAAUGAAAAAUUGGAGGAAGGUGGGGAUUACGUCAAAUCAUCAUGCCCCUUAUGAUCUGGGCUACAAACGUGAUACAAUGGCUAUUACAAAGAGUAGCUGAAACGCGAGUUUUUGGCAAAUCUCAAAAAAAUAGUCUCAGUUCGGAUUGAAGUCUGCAACUCGACUUCAUGAAGUUGGAAUCGCUAGUAAUCGCGAAUCAGCAUGUCGCGGUAAAUACGUUCUCGGGGUUUGUACACACCGCCCGCCAAACCACGAAAGUGGACCAANACCC